rnacentral:rRNA from 1 species
GGGAUUUUGCGCANGGGGGAACCCUGNCGCACAACGCCGCGUGGAGGAUGAAGUCCUUCGGGACGUAAACUCCUUUCGAUCGGGACGAUUAUGACGGUACCGGAAGAAGAAGCCCCGGCUAACUUCGUGCCAGCAGCCGCGGUAAUACGAGGGGGGCGAGCGUUGUUCGGAAUUAUUGGGCGUAAAGGGUGCGUAGGCGGUUUGGUAAGUCUGAUGUGAAAUCUAUGGGCUCAACUCAUAGUCUGCAUCGGAAACUGCCGGGCUUGAGUGUGGGAGAGGUGAGUGGAAUUCCUGGUGUAGCGGUGAAAUGCGUAGAUAUCAGGAGGAACACCUGUGGCGAAAGCGGCUCACUGGACCAUAACUGACGCUGAUGCACGAAAGCUAGGGGAGCAAACAGGAUUAGAUACCCUGGUAGUCCUAGCCCUAAACGAUGACUGCUUGGUGUGACGGGUACUCAAUCCCGCCGUGCCGUAGCUAACGCGUUAAGCAGUCCGCCUGGGGAGUACGGUCGCAAGGCUGAAACUCAAAAAAAUUGACGGA